GAGGGUAUAGCUCAGUGGUAGAGUGAAUGCUUAGCAUGCACGAGGUCCUGGGUUCAAUCCCCAGUGCCUCCA
rnacentral:tRNA from 1 species